rnacentral:rRNA from 1 species
GAUGAACGCUGGCGGCGUGCCUAAUACAUGCAAGUCGAGCGGACGGACGAGAAGCUUACUUCUCUGUUGUUAGCGGCGGGCGGGAGAGUAACACGUGGAUCACCUACCUAUAAGACUGGGAUAACUUCGAGACACCGUAGCUUAUCCCGUAUAAUCUUUUGAUCCGCGUGGUUCAAAAGUGAGAGACGGUCUUGCUGUCACUUCUCGAUGGAUCCGCGCUGCAUUAGCUAGUUGGUAAGGUAACGGCUUACCAAGGCAACGAGGCAUAACCGACCUGUGAGGGUGAUCGCCGACACUGGAGCUGAGACGCGGACCAGAGUCCUACGGGAGGCAGCAGUAGCGAAUGGGCCGCAACAGGCGAAAGUCUGACGGAGCAAGCCCGCGUGAGUUAUGGAGGUCCUCCGAGCGUAAUACUCUGCUACGAGUUAUGAACAGAUGUGUAAGGAGACGUGGACAUCGUGACGGUACUGAAUCAGAAAGCCACGGCUAACUACGUG